AUUAAUUAUUGCCUCUCUCUCACACUACUCCAACUGGUGACACAGGAAGAGAGAAUGAUUAAGCUAGCGUUUUUCCCCAUAAACAUUCCAUUAAAAUACUGACUCAGUAAACCUCCAAAUUCCAAAUCCAACACACAUAGAUCACAAAACCAAAGACCCUUUGAAAAAUCCCGAAAGAAAACCCACAAAACGACCAAAAAUUUUCAAACUCACCUUACCCCAUCAACGAUUUCAAUAUUAGCUGUUAAUAGGAUUUUUUUAUACACUAAAGGAUUCACUCUCACGGUGGUAUUUUUCGUGAAAGGGGAGGAUGGACGGUUACUGCAAGUUACGAAUCUUCAACUCCUUCCCAGCCUAGCAGAGAGCAGCGUGCGGGCGUCUCUGUUUCUUUUCCUUCGUUCUUUCCAGAUGGCUAAGCGCGUGCACGAAGUUUGGAAAGGAAGCAAUGUGAGACUUUUUACUAUCUGGGUUUUUUUCAGAUUUUCUGGGUUUUGCUUAAUUUUUUGGUUUAGCAUAAAUUGUUCUUUAAUACGUUACCAUAUUUUUGGGGAGUUUCACUGCCUAUUAGCACUGGAAC
rnacentral:lncRNA from 1 species